GAUGAACGCUGGCGGCGUGCCUAAUACAUGCAAGUCGAGCGAACAGACGAGGAGCUUGCUCCUCUGACGUUAGCGGCGGACGGGUGAGUAACACGUGGAUAACCUACCUAUAAGACUGGGAUAACUUCGGGAAACCGGAGCUAAUACCGGAUAAUAUAUUGAACCGCAUGGUUCAAUAGUGAAAGACGGUUUUGCUGUCACUUAUAGAUGGAUCCGCGCCGCAUUAGCUAGUUGGUAAGGUAACGGCUUACCAAGGCAACGAUACGUAGCCGACCUGAGAGGGUGAUCGGCCACACUGGAACUGAGACACGGUCCAGACUCCUACGGGAGGCAGCAGUAGGGAAUCUUCCGCAAUGGGCGAAAGCCUGACGGAGCAACGCCGCGUGAGUGAUGAAGGUCUUCGGAUCGUAAAACUCUGUUAUUAGGGAAGAACAAAUGUGUAAGUAACUAUGCACGCCUUGACGGUACCUAAUCAGAAAGCCACGGCUAACUACGU
rnacentral:rRNA from 1 species